rnacentral:rRNA from 1 species
GACGAACGCUGGCGGCGUGCCUAAUACAUGCAAGUAGGACGCAGUUGCGAACGGGUGAUUAACGCGUAGGUAACUACCUAUUAGAGGGGGAUAACUAUUGGAAACGAUAGCUAAUACCGCAUACUCGUAGAUGGACCUGAGUUGUAUUAGCUAGUAGGGAGGGUAAUGGCCUACCAAGGCAACGAUACCUAGCCGACUGGAGAUGGUGAUCGGCCAGCCUGGGCAUGAGACACGGCCCAGACUCCUACGGGAGGCAGCAGUAGGGAAUCUUCGGCAAUGGGGGGAACCCUGACCGAGGAACGCCGCGUGAGGGAAGAAGGUUUUCGGAUCGUAAAGCUCUGUUGUUAAGGAAGCGGUACUUAACCAGAAAGGGACGGCUAACUACGUGCCAGCAGCCGCGGUAAUUC